rnacentral:rRNA from 1 species
GCUCGUAGUUGGAUUUCUGUUGAGGACGACCGGUCCGUACCAUGUACGCGCAUCUGGUUCGGCCUCGGCAUCCUCUCGAUAGACGUUUCUGCGCUUGAUUGCGUGGAGCGGAUCUCGGGACUUUUACUUUGAGGAAAUUAGAGUGUUCACGGCAGGCUAUCGCCAGAAUACAUUAGCAUGGAAUAAUAUUAUAGGAUCUCGGUUCUAUUUUGUUGGUUUCUAGACCCGGGGUAAUGAUUAAUAGGGACAAUUGGGGGCAUUUGUAUCAACACGUCAGAGGUGGAAUUCUUGGAUUGUGUUGCGACAAACUACUGCGAAAGCAUUUGCCAAGGAUGUUUUCAUUGAUCAAGAACGAAAGUAAGGGGAUCGAAGACGAUUAGAUACCGUCGUAGUCUUUACCAUAAACUAUGCCGACUAGAGAUGGGGCAUCGUUCACUUACGACUUGCUCCGCAUCUUAUGAGAUAUCAAAGUCUUUGGGUUCCGGGGGGAGUAUGGUCGCAAGUCUGAAACUUAAAGGAAUUGACGGAAGGGCACCACCAGGAGUGGAGCCUGCGGCUUAAUUUGACUCAACACGGGGAAACUCACCAGGUCCAGACAUAAUAAGGAUUGACAGAUUGAUAGCUCUUUCUUGAUUUUAUGGGUGGUGGUGCAUGGCCGUUCUUAGUUCGUGGAGUGAUUUGUCUGCUUAAUUGCGUUAACGAACGAGACCUUAACCUGCUAAAUAGGAGCGCAUAUCUUCGGAUAAGCGCCUUUCUUCUUAGAGGGACUGCAUGCGUUUCAGUAUGCGGAAGUUUGAGGCUAAAACAGGUCUGUGAUGCCCUUAGAUGUUCUGGGCUGCACGCGCGCUACACUGAUGCGUUCAACGAGUGUACAACCUUGCCCGAUAGGGUUGGGUAACCUUUUGAACACGCAUCGUGAUGGGGAUUGAGUAUUGCAAUUAUUACUCAUCAACGAGGAAUUCCUAGUAAUGAUGAAUCAUCAGUUCAUCGUGAUUA